AUGAAGUGUGACAUGCCCGUUUGGGAUUAUUACUCUGAUUCGUGUUUAUUUUAUUAAAUAAUUGAUAUUGGGAACGGGGUGUUACACUGAG
rfam:Medicago truncatula strain A17 unplaced genomic scaffold scaffold0090, whole genome shotgun sequence.